rfam:Nicotiana attenuata strain TT chromosome 8, whole genome shotgun sequence.
GCUCUUGUAGUUCAGUUGGUUAGAGUGCCUGUUUAGUUAGCGGAGGUCUUGAGUUCGACUCUCAAUAGGAACA